rnacentral:rRNA from 1 species
CGAGAAAGUGGAGCAAUCCAUGAGUAAAGUGGCGUACGGGUGAGUAACACGUGGGUAAUCUGCCUCUGGGUGGGGAAUAACUCUGGGAAACCGGAGCUAAUACCGCAUAAGCCUUGUAAGAGGGAAAGGUGAAAAUCGCCGAGAGAGGAGCCCGCGGCCGAUUAGCUAGUUGGUGGGGUAAAGGCUCACCAAGGCUGAGAUCGGUAGCCGGCCUGAGAGGGCACACGGCCACACUGGCACUGAAACACGGGCCAGACUCCUACGGGAGGCAGCAGUGGGGAAUCUUGCACAAUGGGGGCAACCCUGAUGCAGCGACGCCGCGUGAGUGAUGAAGCCCUUCGGGGUGUAAAGCUCUUUCGGCAGGGACGAUAAUGACGGUACCUGAAGAAGAAGCUGCGGCUAACUACGUGCCAGCAGCCGCGGUAAUACGUAGGCAGCGAGCGUUGUUCGGAGUUACUGGGCGUAAAGCGUGCGUAGGCGGU